ACAUGCAUGAAGUGGAUUCGAUCCACCAUAGCCAAAUUUAAAUUAACACUGCAACAGAACUUUUCCCACGGUGGAACAAUAGUUUUUCUCUGACAGCAGUUUAAUAUUUUCCAGAUGCCUUUAGCUAGGCCGAAACAAUGUCUUCACCACUUGACCCUUUCUAACCUCUUCUACAUCACCAAAAUCUAGAAUAGAGAUAACAAGACCACCAACUAAAUCUAUUGUUCUCAAUAAUAUAUCUUUCCUUCUGGAUUGUUAUAAAAGCAAGGAAACCCCAAGGUCCUAUAUAUCCGGCCCCGGUUUGCUGACUUACUUCAGAUAUCAUCUGAAAAGCAAGAUGGAGCUGGAAAAGAGGACACUUGUCAGCUAGAGUAUAUGAGCAAAGAUGGAAGGAAGUGAUGAACAAGGUGGGUGUUAGGUGCCCAAAUUAACCAUGGAAGAAAUAAAGUGAUCUGCUGGGACGUAUAGACUGCUCGGCUGGAGGAUGUAAAUUCUGUAUAAUUUUAAAAAUAAGAACAAAAGACGGAUCUGUUUUAAGUUCUCAUUAUUAUCAUCAAAUUGUAUAUAAUGGUCAAAAUCAAAUUGUAAAUAAGCACGAUCUCAUUCAUUUUGUGUAAUUGUUUGUCCUGUGCUGUCCUCAUCUAUGUUUGAUCCGUAGUGAUCAUAAUAAAGAUUUUAGUAGUCAAUUGGCGACAACAGAGCGCAGCAGCCCGUGACAACUCAAUUAGUUUGGGAACGGACUGCUAUAAUCAUCGCCACUGUCAGCACUUGUGAGACAACAUUCCACAACCCUACAACUCAUACUAGAUCUGAUUUUAUUCCCUUGUAACUUCACUAUUUCUCUCUCUCUCUUUGUGGAUUACUACUAAACAAUGAAGAGGACACAAACACAAGCUUUACCUCGCAUGUUUAUGGAUCUAUUAUAACCUACCCGUCGUGGUAUGGCAUUUAUUAAAGCAACGUCCACAGCAUCAUCACUAGGCGGCAAAUGACUUCCUGCAGUAGAGUUGAUGCUGCUGUCUCACAGGAUACGAAGAUCAAGUGGCGAUGACUACAAUCCACAGCAUCACUGUGACAUAAAAUAGAUGAAGUUAAGAGCUGUAGAGCCACUUAACAGGAAGAUUUGGCUGCUCUUUCUAGCAACUCGACCAACCAGGUAAAGGCUCUCUUGUUCCCUUCGUCACUUGUUGCUUAGUCCCGAUUUGGAUCUGAUUGAACAGGUUUGAUGGCUUGACAGGUUCCAAUGUGUCCAAGGACUGCAUCAUGUUCCAAUGUCUGCUUUGGUAUGAUUUCUACAGCUGGAUGCCCUUCCUACCACUUUACAUCUUCCUUUCAUGCUGGCAUGGGAUUGGAUAGUUUGACAGGAGUUGGCAAGUCAGAAGAAUGGACUAAGCUCUGCUGUCUGCUUUAGGUUAGGGUUUCUAAGGCUGGAUGCCUUUCCUAAUGCCAACCACUUAGCAAAGUGGACGGGGUGCUUUUCGUGAGGCACCUGCACUAAUGAAGUCACCAUAAAGCUUGCAGAACUUCAAGCCCUGGGAGGGAGUCAGCUUCAUGCUAUGGAAUGAAGGGACUGAACUAUGAGAAGGGGAUUUGGCAGGGCAGGUCUUGUAAGGGAUCUUUAAGGCUACUCACACUUAGCAGGGGAAGGAGAGAGAAAGAGAACAUGAACAGUAGGGGCUGCAAGAGACAGAUAAUGGCAAUGAGGUACCUAAGUGGUCCCACAAGGCACAAAGUGAAUUGAAAAAUCAGUUUCCAAGUAGGGAAAGCAGAAGAAAACAAAAUGAACAGUAGGAACUACAAGAGAUAGAGAAUGGCAAUGAAGUGCCGAGGGGGCCCCACAAGGCACAAAGUGAAUUGAAGAAUUAGUUUGCAAGAUUGUACGGGGGAGGAGAAUGAAGAGAUGGGGAUAGACUGCUUGAAUGGAUAGAGUUGAAGGGUAAAUGAGCAAAGAGUUACAAGUUAGAAGAGAGAGAGGGGGGGGGGGAUAGAAAAGAGUAGGUGAUAUAAUUGCUGGGGCGGAGGGGAGACAAGAAAGGAAGAUAGCAUGGGUUGUCUGUAAGCAUCCAGCAAGAAAGAAAAUUAUUUAUCUUAAGAUUUUCAAGCUUUGGUCUGGAAUAAUAUCUUACAAAAUGAAAUUCAUAUGUAAUUGUUAAAAAAAGAAAAAAAUAUUAGUUUUUUUCUGUGAAACAGAAACUGCAUUACAAUUACAGAAUGAAAAAAAAACAAUCUUAAAUGUUAUAAAACAAAACGAAAAUAGUUAAUUGAAUUAAAAGUGAGAAAUGUUGAAGGAAUACAAAUUUCAUAGCUGUGUGGUCCCUUUUUCAACCUUCAAUUUUCUCUCAUUUCUCAUGUAUGAAAAUAAGCAAAAAAAGGUGGGGUUUAUGAAGUAAAUAUGAAUGUUAUUAUGUUAUUAUUCAAAUGGGAAAAAGUUUCAUCUUAAUAUCUCUAUAUGGAUGCAAUAUUACUUUGCUAGUGUGAUUUUCAACUAAUGGAAUUAUGCUUUAAGCACUCAAUAUAACCCCUCACAACUUUUUUAAUUUUUCAGAAUUUUCAGAAAAUUUUUGCAAAUUUUGUGUUCUACACAUGGGAAUUCAUACCACUAUGAAAAAACCCUUACAAAAAAAAAAAGGGGGUAUUUAGCUGUUAUUUUCAGCACAUCUCGCAAUCAUCUCACACCAUCCUUAUUUGUUUGUCAGUAUUGAUGUUAUGGUCAAAAAUCUUUCUCUCCACAAACACAUUUAAUAGUCUAAUGUUGGAAUUUAAGCCAAAAAUUUGGACUGUCAGUAUAUCAAACUGAUUUUCUAAAAAAAAAUUUUAAAAAAAGAAAAA